rfam:Helobdella robusta unplaced genomic scaffold HELROscaffold_190, whole genome shotgun sequence.
CACAGGAGAUACCGUGAUCAAGAAGGCGGUUCUCCGCGGACGAGAUUCAACCAUUGCACUGAGGUUGGAUUGACUCUGCGAUUACCCUAAAAGUGGGUAAAUCGGUG